GGUGAACGCUGGCGGUAGGCCUAACACAUGCAAGUCGAACGGCAGCACAGUAAGAGCUUGCUCUUACGGGUGGCGAGUGGCGGACGGGUGAGGAAUACAUCGGAAUCUACUUUUUCGUGGGGGAUAACGUAGGGAAACUUACGCUAAUACCGCAUACGACCUACGGGUGAAAGCAGGGGAUCUUCGGACCUUGCGCGAUUGAAUGAGCCGAUGUCGGAUUAGCUAGUUGGCGGGGUAAAGGCCCACCAAGGCGACGAUCCGUAGCUGGUCUGAGAGGAUGAUCAGCCACACUGGAACUGAGACACGGUCCAGACUCCUACGGGAGGCAGCAGUGGGGAAUAUUGGACAAUGGGCGCAAGCAUGAUCCAGCCAUACCGCGUGGGUGAAGAAGGCCUUCGGGUUGUAAAGCCCUUUUGUUGGGAAAGAAAAGCAGCAGGUUAAUACCCAGCUGUUCUGACGGUACCCAAAGAAUAAGCACCGGCUAACUUCGUG
rnacentral:rRNA from 1 species